AAGCGCUGGCCUCAGUAAAGAGGGAUAUUAGACCUCUUUGAUAAGAUGUAACUGCUAUAGGAUGAGGCUGGCAUCAAACAACCCUGGAAACAGACGAGCAGGAGAAGGGAAUAUCACGACAGAGGAAAAGAAUGAACUCUCAGACCUCAGGAUCUGAAUGCUGGGCCAGAAAAUUCGCCGGCUCUGGGAGAUGCUCUCUGGUUGUCUCGGGAUAUUGGAACACCCCAGACCUCAACAACAUAUUUCUCUCCUGCAUGUCCUAAGCUCAUCUGAAGAGAGCUUCAAAGGGAAGACACUCCAGGGAGUUUUCCUGACGUGGCUUGUCUGAACUGCCAGCACCUGCUCUGCACUUCCAGAUCCCAGAGCUCAGAAGCAGAGCUUCUCCAUGCCCAUGUCACAGUGUUCAUCCUUCAUCAUGACAUGUAGGGUUCCUUGACCACUUCUCCCAGAUGGAGCCAUGUGGCACCUGGAUGUGUUAAACUGUUAAGUAUGUUAAAGGCUCCUACUCAGGAGUCUAAAGUGCUCAACAUUAAUGAAGGAGGAGUUCGGGGCCAAAGUAGUGAGGAGUCUGCUCGUACCUGGUUGAGUCUUUUUGUUGCUCUCUUUUGCUCUUGGGUUUGAGGAUAACAUUGCAAAUUGUCUAGAAAUGGCAUGUCUUCAUGACUGAGAAGUGAGAACUAGACAAAGUCAUCAAGGCCCCUGGUCCUUUCAAAGAACAGUAAUUUCCAGAAUCAUAAAAUACUGGUUUAAGAAAAAAAUCUGAAAUAAGAAAAGGAAAAGCAAUGGUAGCUCCAGUUACAGAAACUCAGCUUUGCUUGUCUGAUUUCUCACGAUAAAUCAUAAAUGCUUUUAAAAGCAAACAAGAGCUUAGCGUUUGACAUGCCCUAGGAAUGAAUGUCACAGCCCUGCUGGCUCUGCUUUCACAGGACUGCUAUGCAAAGCAACCUCCCCGUGCAAAAGAGAUGGCAAAGCAGAGCAAUAAAUGUGAUCCAGGUCAGGACUGCUGCCUCACACAUACACCACGGUUAAAGAAACUGCUACUAAGGUCUUCACCCCGCAUUGGGAUUUGUCUGUGAUUAGACUUGUGACCAUUUAACGUAGAGCAUCCUUUCAACGUGAUUCUCUUCAACCUGGAAGAAGAAUACCCUCCAAGGCAUUGGAAUCGGCUCCUCAGCCACUAUCCAGCAAUCACCUCCCUGAGAACUGUGCGCUUUCCAAGAUAAUUGCAUGUUUUCCUCCACUGCUGGAUAGAGUUCUGCUGUGGCACCAAAUGUAGCCACCAAGAAACUGCAGUUUUCAACCAUUCCAUUUUAGAUUCCCCUUUCCUAAAUUUCUUAAUCCCCACUAACAGAGAGAAAUCUCCAGUGGAUCAGAGGAUUUCCUGCUUUAGUAUAAUGCAAGCGCAGAACAGUUUCACAAGCAAAAGAGAUAGAGCUCUGACUUCAAAAAACAAGAGAAAUUCAGAGUUGGAAAAUCAAAGGAAUUAGAGAAGUGGUCUUGAAGCUAGCACUGUAACGCAUUAACAAUAAGCUCCUGCCGUACCCCACCAGGGCCAGGUCCGUGAGAUACCAUCAGCUGAUGGGGCUGUCAUCAACCUCUUCUUGCAGGACCAUUGCCCCUGCAGCUGUGCUUCAUCUACGCUCUGAACCGAGAGAUCCCAUCCUGAAGCGACCCAUGUGCUUGGCCCUCACCAUUUGAGUUUUCAGU